rnacentral:lncRNA from 1 species
CUUCAACUGAGUUUAUUGGCAUUUCUUAGCACAUACGAGUUCGAAGAAAAUUUAUUACAGGUAGUUGCAGUCUGGCAUCAUGUGGCACAUCAUCACUGUCUCUUCUGCAAAUUUCUGAGAAUAAGAAGAAUUGGUUGAAAAAACUUCUAACAUCUCCAUCGGUUUGUAAUCAGCGAAUACAAUUAUGAAGCAAUUUCCUACCUGUUUUUUUAUUUGAUCCAUGAACUU